UGGGGAAUAUUGCACAAUGGGGGAAACCCUGAUGCAGCGACGCCGCGUGAACGAAGAAGGUAUUCGUAUCGUAAAGUUCUGUCCUAUGGGAAGAUAAUGACAGUACCAUAGAAGAAAGCUCCGGCUAAAUACGUGCCAGCAGCCGCGGUAAUACGUAUGGAGCGAGCGUUGUCCGGAAUUAUUGGGCGUAAAGGGUACGCAGGCGGUUUAAUAAGUCGGAUGUUAAAGAUCGGGGCUCAACCCCGUAAAGCAUUGGAAACUGAUAAACCUGAGUAGUAGAGAGGAAAGUGGAAUUCCUAGUGUAGUGGUGAAAUACGUAGAUAUUAGGAGGAAUACCAGUAGCGAAGGCGACUUUCUGGACACAAACUGACGCUGAGGUACGAAAGCGUGGGGAGCAAACAGG
rnacentral:rRNA from 1 species